rnacentral:rRNA from 1 species
GGCAGCAGAGGGGAAUAUUGCACAAUGGGCGAAAGCCUGAUGCAGCAACGCCGCGUGAGGGACGACGGCCUUCGGGUUGUAAACCUCUUUUAGCAGGGAAGAAGCGAAAGUGACGGUACCUGCAGAAAAAGCACCGGCUAACUACGUGCCAGCAGCCGCGGUAAUACGUAGGGUGCAAGCGUUGUCCGGAAUUAUUGGGCGUAAAGAGCUCGUAGGCGGUUUGUCGCGUCUGCUGUGAAAAUCCGAGGCUCAACCUCGGACCUGCAGUGGGUACGGGCAAACUAGAGUGCGGUAGGGGAGAUUGGAAUUCUUGGUGUAGCGGUGGAAUGCGCAGAUAUCAGGAGGAACACCAAUGGCGAAGGCAGAUCUCUGGGCCGUAACUGACGCUGAGGAGCGAAAGCGUGGGGAGCGAACAGGAUUAGAUACCCUGGUAGUCCACGCCGUAAACGGUGGGAACUAGAUGUGGGGUCCGUUCCACGGAUUCCGUGUCGCAGCUAACGCAUUAAGUUCCCCGCCUGGGGAGUACGGCCGCAAGGCUAAAACUCAAAGGAAUUGACGG